CAACUACUCCCUCUGUCCCAAAUUUCUUGUCUUAGAUUUGUCUAGAUACGGAUGUAUCUAAUACUAAUAUGUGACUUGAUACAUCCGUAUCUAGACAAAUCUAAGACAAGAAUUUUGGGACGGAGGGAGUACUUU
rnacentral:pre_miRNA from 1 species